rnacentral:rRNA from 1 species
CAGAGAAAAGCUCUGUCACCUGUACAUGAAUUCAUAGUGUGCGGGAGGGAAACGUCGUGAACUGAAACAUCUAAGUAGCGGCAGGAAAAGAAAACAAAAGUGAUUGCGAAAGUAGUGGCGAGCGAAAUCGCAAGAGGCCAAACCAAGCAUGCUUGCAUGCUCGGGGUUGCGGACUGCAGACGUUAUUUUGCGAGGGUAGUUGAACGGUUUUGGGAAAGCCGGUCGAAGAGGGUGAAAGCCCCGUAAGCGAAACUUAAGCAAAGACAGCAGAAUCCAGAGUAGAACGGGACACGAGAAACCCUGUUUGAAGCCGGGGGGACC